GGGCGGAUAGCUCAGUUGGGAGAGCAAUUGCUCGACACGCAAUAGGUCGCAGGUUCGAACCCUGUUCCGCCCACCA
rnacentral:tRNA from 1 species